CACGUAGGGCGCAAGCGUUGUCCGGAAUUAUUGGGCGUAAAGAGCUUGUAGGCGGUUUGUCGCGUCUGCCGUGAAAAUCCGGGGCUCAACCCCGGACUUGCGGUGGGUACGGGCAGACUAGAGUGUGGUAGGGGAGACUGGAAUUCCUGGUGUAGCGGUGAAAUGCGCAGAUAUCAGGAGGAACACCGAUGGCGAAGGCAGGUCUCUGGGCCACUACUGACGCUGAGAAGCGAAAGCGUGGGGAGCGAACAGG
rnacentral:rRNA from 1 species